rnacentral:rRNA from 1 species
GUGACUGCGUACCUUUUGUAUAAUGGGUCAGCGACUUAUAUUCUGUAGCAAGGUUAACCGAAUAGGGGAGCCGGAGGGAAACCGAGUCUUAAUUGGGCGUUAAGUUGCAGGGUAUAGACCCGAAACCCGGUGAUCUAGCCAUGGGCAGGUUGAAGGUUGGGUAACACUAACUGGAGGACCGAACCGACUAAUGUUGAAAAAUUAGCGGAUGACCUGUGGCUGGGGGUGAAAGGCCAAUCAAACCGGGAGAUAGCUGGUUCUCCCCGAAAGCUAUUUAGGUAGCGCCUCGUGAAUUCAUCUCCGGGGGUAGAGCACUGUUUCGGCUAGGGGGCCAUCCCGGCUUACCAACCCGAUGCAAACUGCGAAUACCGGAGAAUGUUAUCACGGGAGACACACGGCGGGUGCUAACGUCCGUCGUGAAGAGGGAAACAACCCAGACCGCCAGCUAAGGUCCCAAAGUCAUGGUUAAGUGGGAAACGAUGUGGGAAGGCCCAGACAGCCAGGAUGUUGGCUUAGAAGCAGCCAUCAUUUAAAGAAAGCGUAAUAGCUCACUGGUCGAGUCGGCCUGCGCGGAAGAUGUAACGGGGCUAAACCAUGCACCGAAGCUGCGGCAGCGAACGUAUCACUUAAAGCGAUUCAGCGGGUUACGAUUGACGGAGCGAAGCGACGUCAAAGCGUAUACAAAGUCGAGUCGGUUUAAGGAUACGUUCGUUGGGUAGGGGAGCGUUCUGUAAGCCUG